UACGGAGGGGGCGAGCGUUGUUCGGACUUACUGGGCGUAAAGGGCGCGUAGGCGGUGACGUUAGUCGGGCGUGAAAGCCCCGGGCUCAACCUGGGAUGUGCGCUCGAUACUGCGUUGCUUGAGAGCGGAAGAGGGUAGUGGAAUUCCCAGUGUAGAGGUGAAAUUCGUAGAUAUUGGGAAGAACACCAGUGGCGAAGGCGGCUACCUGGUCCGUUUCUGACGCUGAGGCGCGAAAGCGUGGGGAGCAAACAGG
rnacentral:rRNA from 1 species